CAAACAUAUUUCAAUACAAAACAAAACCAAACUUAUUUCAUGGCGACCGUGACAUGAGUCCUGGAGGACUUAGGAAGAUAUUCGGAACCAAGGCUAAAAGGAAUCAAAGGAUUGAAAAUGCAAAAGGAAAAAUACAUCAUACGAGAAAAACGUCUGACCUCUGCCAAAACGACCACAGGUCUGCCCGACCGACUGCCCCGGACCUCUCAACUCUGCAGCAUGCAAUUGCACAUGCGUGAAGCCGAAGAAUAAAGCGAAGACCAACCCAAAACAAUAGCAAGCGUGGGAGGCACGACCGCCACCUGCGCCCUCGAGGGAGCGUCAGCGCAGCCAAACCGGCGACGACCAGCUGACGUGGAAGGAAGGACCACCAAACCUGGG